rnacentral:rRNA from 1 species
UACGGGGGGGGCAAGCGUUGUUCGGAAUUACUGGGCGUAAAGGGCUCGUAGGUGGCCAACUAAGUCAGACGUGAAAUCCCUCAGCUUAACUGGGGAACUGCGUCUGAUACUGGAUGGCUUGAGUUUGGGAGAGGGAUGCGGAAUUCCAGGUGUAGCGGUGAAAUGCUUAGAUAUGACAUAGAACACCAAUUGCGAAGGCAGCUCACUACACGAAUAUUGACACUGAGGCACGAAAGCGUGGGGAUCAAACAGG